rnacentral:rRNA from 1 species
UACAGAGGUCCCAAGCGUUGUUCGGAUUCAUUGGGCGUAAAGGGUGCGUAGGUGGCGUCGUAAGUCGGGUGUGAAAUCUCGGGGCUUAACCCCGAAACUGCAUUCGAUACUGCGGUGCUUGAGGACUGGAGAGGAGACUGGAAUUUACGGUGUAGCAGUGAAAUGCGUAGAGAUCGUAAGGAAGACCAGUGGCGAAGGCGGGUCUCUGGAAAGUUCCUGACACUGAGGCACGAAGGCCAGGGGAGCAAACGGG